AUUGAACGCUGGCGGCAGGCCUAACACAUGCAAGUCGCGCGAGCGUCGGACGGGUGAGUAAUGUCUGGGAAACUGCCUGAUGGAGGGGGAUAACUACUGGAAACGGUAGCUAAUACCGCAUACCAUCAGAUGUGCCCAAAUGGGAUUAGCUAGUAGGUGGGGUAACGGCUCACCUAGGCGACGAGCCCUAGCCGGUCUGAGAGGAUGACCAGCCACACUGGAACGGCGCCACGGUCCAGACUCCGACGGGAGGCAGCAGUGGGGAAUAUGUCACAAUGGGCGAAAGCCUGAUGCAGCCAUGCCGCGUGUGUGAAGAAGGCCUUCGGGUUGUAAAGCACUUCAGCGGGGAGGCGUUACCCGCAGAAGAAGCACCGGCUAACUCCGUGCCAGCAGCCGCGGUAAUAC
rnacentral:rRNA from 1 species